GAUACGUAUACUACGAAUCCAAACAUAUCCCAUAUGAUUAUUUUCAAAAAUGCGACCAGCUGUUACUUUGAUUCGAAAAUCCAACACGCUCUUAAUAGCAAGCUAACUCCUUUUUUACUACCUACCCGUAUGGAAUUUUUCAUUUUAGCAUCCAGUUUCUUUAUAUCAUUUUGGCAUUCCUCAUCAAAGCAACAAAACUGUCAUUCACGUGUUAUCAGCGAAGAAUUAAUACACGGAGUUUGUGAUGAAACUACCGCCCUUUUGCCCAGGAGCACUGAAAAUCGCGCUAGCCACGUUUUCGCCAUCAUGAUUUCAAUAUUUCUCAGCCUGCCUACCUUUUUGACAUGGCUGCUACUGUCCUUCGUUUAUAAAGACGACAGUGACCAUCUAAACACUGCCUACGAAAUAUGUCAUUGCUUUAAUUCCCUUGCCAUAAUCGUCAUAGUUUACAUUACUUUUGACAACCUGUCCAGAAGAUACAUUAUUAGAGAGAACCAUCGCCCUCUUACGACUAGUGAAACUAUUCUGGUGUUUAGUUCGGCUGGGGUGGUGGCCUACAGCACAUAUGGACUGCUCUUUGCUCUCCAGUCCCAAGUAAGUGAACACAUGGCAGCUUUAUUCCGAAACAUAUUUUGGAUUUUGGAAACAUUUUUACAAACAUCUCUUUUGAUACAGUGUCAGCGGUACGUACUGUCAGAGAAAAGAUCCAAACUCCUCUCCUCGUUUGCCCUGGUUAUAACUAUUACAAAUUUAAUCAAUUGGUUUCUGUACUCUGUUUAUCAAAAUGGGCCGACAGAAGGAAGAGAGCUAAUCGUCGGAAACAAACGUAACUGGGCGUACGUUAAAACAAUACUGGUACCGUUGUUAAUCUUUUACAGGUUUACCUCUGCUAUGAAUUCAUAUUCCCUCUACAAUCAAAUUAAACCAUGAUAGUAUCAUUUCAAGCAAAUGGUGGAUAUAAUUAUGAGCAAAGUUUACAUAAAAUGGUUUAUUGAAAAAACAAAUUCAAAUUAAAAUGAAAUAUGUCUG
rnacentral:misc_RNA from 1 species